AGUUAUAUCUUUUUUAUGCAACCGCAAGACAGUAUCUUUAAUUAAAUAAAUAAUAUAAUUAGUUUUAAAAUUAUUAAUAUUAGAAUGCUUAAGGCUAUUUAAAAGACUCAAAGAGUCUGUCAAAAUUAGAAAAUAUUUACAAUUAUUUAUAGAAAUUAUAGAUUUUAAAGCGGCAAAAACUGCACAUGCCUCUGCUGUAAAUAUGGAGCACUUUUUAUCGAGAGCAAAGCUUUGAGCAACAUCUUUUUGGGAAUCAUAUACCGCACUUCUCACAAAAUCAUUGCCUUUACUGCCAUCAGUGUAGAUUGUAUAAUACUUGUUAUUUUCUUCUAUAAAAGCCAGUAAAUCUGAAUUAUUUUCGAUUGAAUUUGAUAAAAUCGUAAUAGGAUGAGUGAUACAACUGUAUGAAUGAGUGUAACACGACCAGUGUGAAAGUUUUUUGAUGUUCGAAUAAUGAGAUUGUAUUUCUAAGAAGAUCUGGCACAGAGUUGGAGAUGUACCUCUCAGGAGAUCAUUUGGUGAAGUGAGUGGACCAUCUAUAUUGAUUGGAUCCGAUAUGAGAGAAAUGAAGCUAUCAACACAACUUCUUCCUCUGCGAAAUCCAUAUUGAAUGUGUGGAAUGACAUUAUUGGAUUCUGCAUACCAGUCAAGUCGAGAUUUCACCAUAUUUUCAAAUAUUUUUCCAAUACAGGAUGAUAACGAGAUUGGACGAUAAGAACUGAUCUGUUCAGGGUUGGAGCAUGGUGGAAGGGGAGGGAACUCAUUGUUAUCUUUUGUGCUGGCAAUGCUUGCAUAUGUUAUUUUAUUUUUCUUUUCUAGGAUUUUAUUCAUUUUUAUUGGACACAUUUUGGAUAUUGCUAAAUGAGGUCCACUGCAAUUUACACAGCAAAUCUCAUUUUGUUUAUUGCAGUCUUUAUAAGAAUGUUCACCUGAACAAAUAGAGCAACGCUGUUUGCCAUUACAAAUUUUAGCAUAAUGAUUAAAUUUCAUACAUUUGAAACAUUGUUGGAGAGGAGGUAUAUAUUCAAACACUCUGUAAAAAAAUAAAUCAUAUUGGACACUCUCAGGUAAAGUUUGCCAAAAAUGUGAUACUAACAGUUUGUGUUCCGACUAAUUCAUUGCCAAUUUUUUUUCAUAAAUCUCCUAACUGCAAUUAUUUCAUUUGUAGAAGUUAAUUUCGUAAAUAGUUCUUUAUUUGAUAUACUUGCAGGCACAAAUCUGAUAAUACCAGUUUUUUCAAUUAGAGCUGCUGGAAUGUAUGCUUUCAUAUCAUGUUUCUCAAGAAAAUGUAUAUUGUGUAUCAAGUUAUUAGCUGUAUUAUGUUGUUUAAAUAUGACAACAAUUUUAUUUGCGCUAAUUCGCCUUAUUGCCACCACGCCUUUAAUUUCGGAGAAUAUGUGGUUUAAAUAUAUUG